UCUUCUCCAUCUUAUCCCCACAACGACAACCCUGUGAGCUUCAGGACAAUUCCUCUGAAAUUCAGCUCAGUUUGGAAUCAGAUCCUCCUCACUGACAACCAUUCCUUCUCGUAAUGAUGAAGAAAACUGGUGGAAAGGACAGGUGAAGGCUGCAGAAGAUUGUUCUGCAAAGCAAGUACCCAGUAGACUUCCAAGAACUCGCCUACAAUGAAGUCUUUACAUAAGCUUGAGAAGUAAACAAUAUUCGCUUGGUCUACUAAACAAGAAAUUGCAUUUAUUUUAUUGCUAACAGUAUCACUGUGCAGUAAACACCAAGACAGAGACAUUCUCUGGAGUUAACAGUGCGGCUGUGAUACAAUGAAGUCAGUAUUCUCCUUGAAUUAUUCUUAAGAGAUGACUAGUGCAGAAGAAAAUUGCAAAAAUAAAACUUACAUUCUUUGCACAACAGAUGCUUAUGUGAAUGCAAUAUGCUACCAGACCAUACUGCCUUAAUAAAAUUACAUAAAAUCUC